AUGGGGGCAACCCUGACCGAGCAACGCCGCGUGAGUGAAGAAGGUUUUCGGAUCGUAAAGCUCUGUUGUAAGUCAAGAACGAGUGUGAGAGUGGAAAGUUCACACUGUGACGGUAGCUUACCAGAAAGGGACGGCUAACUACGUGCCAGCAGCCGCGGUAAUACGUAGGUCCCGAGCGUUGUCCGGAUUUAUUGGGCGUAAAGCGAGCGCAGGCGGUUUGAUAAGUCUGAAGUUAAAGGCUGUGGCUCAACCAUAGUUCGCUUUGGAAACUGUCAAACUUGAGUGCAGAAGGGGAGAGUGGAAUUCCAUGUGUAGCGGUGAAAUGCGUAGAUAUAUGGAGGAACACCGGUGGCGAAAGCGGCUCUCUGGUCUGUAACUGACGCUGAGGCUCGAAAGCGUGGGGAGCGAACAGGAUUAGAUACCCUGGUAGUCCACGCCGUAAACGAUGAGUGCUAGGUGUUGGAUCCUUUCCGGGAUUCAGUGCCGCAGCUAACGCAUUAAGCACUCCGCCUGGGGAGUACGACCGCAAGGUUGAAACUCAAAGGAAUAGACGGGGGCCCGCACAAGCGGUGGAGCAUGUGGUUUAAUUCGAAGCAACGCGAAGAACCUUACCAGGUCUUGACAUCCCGAUGCUAUUUCUAGAGAUAGAAAGUUACUUCGGUACAUCGGUGACAGGUGGUGCAUGG
rnacentral:rRNA from 1 species